CGGAGAGAUACCGAGAGGCUGUCCGCGCUCUGCAGUCUGACUGCUCGCGGGGCUGAGACAAGAAAUACUGUAGCGUAUGAUUUUUGGAAAAAAAAAUAUCCAUUAAAACUCACAAAACAAGCCCAACUGUCAAGAAGACAGUGAACUUGAACAGGUAACUGACGCAGAACGCUUCCAAUCUGAGGCGAUAGCUGCUUUUUGACAGCCCUGCCAUUCGUUUAUUGUAGGGACGGCUAAAUUUAUGGAUUAACAAUAACGAUAAAGCAAUUACUGGAAACAAUUAUAAAUAAAAACUCAAGUGAAAAAGAAGAAGAGGUUUUUCUCCGGGUCCUAGUCAAAUUGUAAUUACCGAAAUGAGAGGGAUUUAUGUCAACAACGGUUGAGGGCAGAUAAGUAACCGCUAUCCUCCUUUCCCCUCUUUCUUUUUUUUCGGUAUGAAAUCUUUCCCCCGAAAUUUAGCGAACCCCGCGGUCUACAUGAGAUGGUUCAGUCCGGCUGCAGAAGCGGAGUCUCAAUGCAUUGGGAUUUUUCUCAGCUCCGGCACAAAGUGAAUCUUCCUUUUAAAACCAUCUGAUAACGUGCCUGCCACAAAAAAAGAGGCUGCCAUGAGCCCCGCUCUGAAUCCGGACGGAGUGGAAAGGACAACAUGCAGAUGCGCAUAUAACGGCACCAGAAAAGUGGUCGGACUAAGGAUUUUUGCGCUAAUGAAGGUGGGAAUACAAGCGCACUAUUGGAGCCGGGUUCUCAUCCUCUAUAUGGGCUUGCUGACUGCAUCUGUUAAGGCUCAGAACUGCAGCUACACGUUACACAGUCCGAACGGGACGAUAGAGAGCCCCGGUUACCCGUACGGCUACCCCAACUAUGCCAACUGCACGUGGGUGGUUCUGGCACAAGACCACAAUCGGAUACAGCUGGUGUUCCAGGGCUUCGCUCUGGAGGAGGACUUCGACAUCCUCUCCGUCUACGAUGGGCAGCCCAGCCCCAGCAACCUCAGAACACGGCUGACGGGCUUCCAGCUGCCUCCGCCCAUUGUCAGCUCUGGGCCUCGGCUUACUCUGUGGCUGCUCUCAGACUACGCCGUCAGUGGGCAGGGAUUCAAGGCCUACUAUGAAGCCCUGCCCAGCUAUACCUGUGGGAACCCAGGACAGCUUCAGAACGGCUUCCAGCAGGGAUCCACCUUCAACAUCGGGGACAAAAUCCGCUACAGCUGCAGUGCUGGCUAUGUCCUGGAGGGGCACACUGUGCUAUCCUGCCUGGCCACCUCUUCUGGGACGGCCUCCUGGGAUUUCCCGCUGCCUUACUGUAGAGCGGAUGAUGGAUGCGGAGGCACCCUGCGGGGCCAGAGCGGGGUCAUUACCAGCCCCAGUUACCCCCAGGAUUACAACAACAACGCCGACUGCACGUGGACGGUGCUGGCCGAGCCCGGAGACACCAUCGCCCUGGUUUUCACCGACUUCCAGCUGGAGGAUGACUAUGACGUCUUGGAGGUCAGCGGAACUGAGGGCUCCUCACAAUGGUUCUCGGGUCCCAAUCUGCCUUCCCCCAUCAUCAGCAGUAAGAACUGGCUGCGGCUUCACUUCACCUCUGAUGGCAACCACAGACUGCGGGGCUUCAGUGCCCAGUACCAAGUGAAGAAGAUGACAGAGCUGAAGUCCCGAGGUGUGAAGAUGCUGCCAAGCAAAGACAACCACCAAAAAAUAUCCGUGUUGUCCCAGAUGGGUGUCGCUCAGGGACACAACAUGUGCCCAGACCCAGGGAUCCCAGAGCGAGGGAAGAGGAAAGGCUCCGAUUUCAGGAGGGGUUCGACGGUGCACUUCUCCUGUGAUGAAGGUUAUGAGCUGCAGGGUUCCAAGAGCAUCACCUGCCUGCGAGUGACAGACAGCUACGUGGGCUGGAGUGACGAUCGACCCAUCUGCAGAGCACCCAUGUGUGGUGGGCAGCUCCGUGGGCCAAGCGGCCUCAUCACCUCCCCCAACUUUCCCGUCCAAUAUGACAACAAUGCCAACUGUACCUGGGUGAUCACUGCCGCUGACCCCAACAAGGUGAUCAAGCUGACAUUCGAGGAUUUUGACCUGGAGCGAGGCUACGACACGCUGACAGUGGGGGACGGCGCGUCCGUCGGAGACCAGAAGACAGUCUUCCACGUGCUGUCUGGGACCACCACGCCGGACCUGGUCGUCAGCACCAGUCACCAGAUGUGGCUCAACUUCAAGACCGAUGACUCCAGCGGUUCACUUGGCUUUAAGGUGUCCUACGAAGAAAUUGACCAGGGUAGCUGCGGAGACCCAGGUAUCCCUCCCUACGGUAAGAGGGACGGCUCGGGUUUCCGGCACGGGGACCACCUGCACUUCGAGUGUCUCCCCGCCUUCGAGCUCGUCGGGAAGAAAAACAUCACCUGCCAGAAGAACAACCAGUGGUCGGCCAAGAAGCCCAGCUGCGUGUUCUCCUGCUUCUUCAACUUUACCACCCCAUCCGGCGUGCUCCUGUCGCCCAACUACCCCCAGGAGUACGGGAACAGCAUGCACUGCGUCUGGCUGAUCAUCGCCAAACCCGAGAGCCGCAUCAACCUGGCCUUCAACGACCUCAGCUUGGAGAAGCAGUUCGACUUCCUGUCCAUCAAAGACGGUGGCAAGGCCGAGUCGCCUAUCCUGGGCACCUUCUCCGGGGAUGCGCUGCCGUCUCCCAUCACCACUAGUGCCCACGUGGCCCGACUGGAGUUCCUCACGGACCACACCAACACGGACCGGGGCUUCAACAUCACCUUCACAACCUUCCGCCACAACGAGUGCCCAGACCCCGGUGUGCCAGUGAACGGGAAGCGCUUCGGGGACAGCCUACAGCUGGGCAGCUCCAUGUCCUUCACCUGCGAAGAGGGCUUCAUCAAGACCCACGGCUCGCAGACCAUCUCCUGCAUCCUGAAGGAUGGCAACGUCGUGUGGGACAACGCCAUGCCCCGCUGUGAAGCUCCUUGUGGCGGGGAACUUAAAGCCCUAAGUGGCAUCAUCCUGUCCCCGGGCUGGCCUGAGCUCUACAAGGAGGCCCUGAACUGCGAGUGGAUCAUCGAGGCCCCUCCUGGCCACCCUAUCAAAAUCAUCUUUGACAAGUUCCGGACGGAGGUGAACUAUGACGUGUUGGAGAUUAGAGACGGACGGUACCCAUCGUCCCCCCUCAUCGGCAGCUACCAGGGCACGCAGGUGCCGCAGUUCCUCAUCAGUACCUCCAACUUCCUGUACCUGCUGUUCACCACGGACAAGAGCCACUCGGACAUCGGCUUUCGGAUCCGCUACGAGAUUGUGCAGCUGCAGUCAGACCACUGCGUGGACCCGGGCAUCCCGGUGAACGGACAGCGGCACGGGCACGACUUCUACGUGGGCGCGCUGGUGACGUUCAGCUGCGACGCCGGCUACUCGCUGAGCGACAGCGAGCCUCUCGAGUGUGAGCCCAACUUCCAGUGGAGUCGUGGCCUCCCCAGCUGUGACGCUCUCUGCGGAGGUUACAUCCAUGGGAAUAGCGGCACCAUCCUGUCACCCGGGUUCCCAGACUUCUACCCCCACAACCUCAACUGCACCUGGGUGAUUGAAACGUCCCACGGCAAAGGCGUGCAGCUCACUUUUCACACCUUCCACCUGGAGAGCCCCCACGACUACCUGCUGGUGACGGAGAACGGCAGUUUCUCAGAACCCCUCUGGCGUCUCACGGGUUCCACGCUGCCUCCCCCCCUCAGCGCCGGCCUCUUCGGCAACUUCACCGCCCAGAUCCGCUUCCUCUCCGACUUCUCGGUCUCCUACGAGGGUUUCAACAUCACCUUCUCUGAGUACGACUUGGAGCCCUGCGAAGACCCCGGCGUGCCCCCCGACAGCAGCCGCAAGGGUCUGCAGUUCGGAGUGGGAGACUCCCUCAUCUUCUCCUGCUUCCCGGGGUACCGGCUGGAGGGGCCGUCCCAGGUGACCUGCCUGGGGGGGCGGCGGCGGGUGUGGAGCUCCCCUCUGCCCAGGUGUGUUGCGGAAUGCGGAUCCUCCGUGACUGGCACCCAGGGGGUGCUUCUCUCCCCCAACUACCCGGCCUACUACGGCAACAACCACGAGUGCAUAUACUCCAUCCAGACACAGCCGGGCAAGGGCAUCCAGCUGCGCGCCAGGGAUUUCCGUCUUCAGGACGACGAUGUUCUCAAGGUGUACGACGGCAGCAGUAACAGGGCCCGUUUUCUGGGCACCUUCACGGGCACGGAGCUGCUGGACACGGCCCUGAACAGCACCUCCAGCUUCAUGUGGCUGGAGUUCAUCAGCAACUCCGAGAACACCAGCAAAGGCUUCGAGCUGCACUACAAUAGUUUUGAGUUGGUGAAGUGCGAGGACCCCGGCGUGCCCCAGUUCGGCUACAAGCAGGAUGACCGGGGCCACUUCGCGGGCAGCACCGUGUCCUACGGCUGUAGCCCAGGCUACACGCUGAAGGGCAAGGAGGUGUUGACGUGCCAGAGGGGGGAGCGGCGGGCCUGGGACAGCCCCCUCCCCCUCUGUGUGGCUGAGUGCGGAGGUUUCAUCAAGGACGAGCCCACUGGACGGAUACUCUCUCCCGGCUACCCGGCCCCCUACGACCACAACCUGAACUGCAUGUGGACCAUCGAGGCCGCGCCAGGGAGCACCAUUGGUCUCCACUUCCUGGUGUUCCACACGGAGGAGGUGCAUGACGUGCUGCGCAUUUGGGACGGCGCCCAGGAGGGCGGGAUCCUGAUGAGGGAGCUGAGUGGCUCCGCCCUGCCGGUCGAUGCCCACAGCACCUUCAACUCGGUGACCUUGCAGUUCACCACCGACUUCUUCACCAGCAAGCAGGGCUUCGCUUUGCAGUUCUCCGUCUCUACCGCUACUUCGUGUAAUGACCCGGGCACACCGACUAACGGAACACGCAGCGGGGACAGCCGGGAACCAGGGGACCACGUGCUGUUCCAGUGUGAUCCCGGAUACGUCCUGCAGGGGGCGAACAAGAUCACCUGCACGGAAAUCAACAGCCGCUUCUUCUGGCAGCCCGACCCUCCGACUUGCUCAGCGCCCUGUGGCGGGAACCUGACAGGCCCAGGGGGCAUGAUCCUCUCCCCGGAGUACCCCGAGCCAUACCCACACGGACGCGAGUGUGACUGGACGGUGACAGUCACUUCGGAUUACGUCAUCGCUCUCACCUUCACCCAGUUCAGUCUGGAGCCAAGUUACGACUUCCUGCACAUCUACGACGGGCCGGACUCGCUGAGCCCCCUGCUGGGCAGCUUUUACGGCACCGACGUGCCGGACCGCAUCGAGAGCAGCUCCAACACCCUCUUCCUGGCCUUCCGCAGCGACGCGUCUCUCAGCAGCAACGGCUUCGUGCUGCAGUACACAGAAAACCCACGGGAAUCCUGUUUCGAGCCCGGCCCGAUCCGGAACGGGACGCGCGUCGGCACCGAGCUGAAGUUGGGCUCCACCAUCACCUUCCACUGUGACAGUGGCUACACCAUCAACGGAGAUACCACUCUGACCUGUAUCAUGGGGGGUGACAGCAAGCCCACCUGGAACAAACCACGUCCAACUUGCACAGCUCCGUGUGGUGGGCAGUACACCGGACUGGAGGGGGUGGUUCUGUCCCCGGGCUACCCUGGUAACUACAGCAGUGGGAGGACCUGCCUAUAUUCCGUAGUCGUGCCAAAGGACUAUGUGGUGUUUGGCCAGUUCGCAUUCUUCCAGACGGCCCUGAAUGAUGUCGUGGAGGUGUACGACGGGGCCACCCAGCACGCCCGCAUCCUGAGCUCCCUCUCAGGAGCGCACACAGGCGAAUCCCUGCCGUUGGCCACUUCCAACCAGAUACUCAUCCGAUUUAAUGCGAAGGGCCAAGCCACAUCCAAAGGAUUCCAUCUGGUGUACCAAGCCGUCCCCAGGACCAGCGCCACCCAGUGCAGCUCGGUGCCAGAGCCCCGGCACGGGAGGCGAGUGGGGAACAGUUUCUCGGUGGGUGCGGUGGUUCGCUUUGAGUGUGGCCCGGGCUACGCCUUAGAGGGAGCCAGUGCCAUCGAGUGCCUGACGGUGCCCAACGCUUUAGCGCAGUGGAACAGCACGGUCCCCGGCUGCAUCGUCCCCUGUGGUGGAAAUUUGACCGAGCGGACUGGGACCAUCCUCUCUCCCGGAUUCCCCGAGCCGUACCUCAACAGCCUGAACUGUGUGUGGAAGAUCACCGUCCCAGAGGGGUCGGGGAUUCAGAUCCAGGUCAUCAGCUUCGUGACGGAGCACAACUGGGACUCCCUGGAGGUGUUUGAUGGAGGCGAUAACACGGACACUAUGCUGGGCAGUUUCUCAGGCACCACUGUUCCAGCUCUCCUGAACAGCACCUCCAACCAGCUGUACCUGCAUUUUUUCUCCGACAUCAGUGUCUCCGCUGCCGGAUUCCACCUGGAGUACAAAACCGUGUCCCUGACCAGCUGCCCCGAGCCACAGGUGCCCAUGAAUGGGAUGAAAGUGGGAGACCGCUUCCAGAUGAACAGCGUGGUGUCCUUCCAGUGUGAGCCGGGGUACACCCUGCAGGGCAACUCCCACAUCUCCUGCAUGCCCGGCACUGUGAGGCGCUGGAACUUCCCGCCUCCUCUAUGCAUUGCCCAGUGUGGGGGGAUUCGAGAGGAGAUGGAGGGGAUGAUCUUGAGUCCGGGUUUCCCAGGGAACUAUCCUAGCAACAGUGAUUGCACCUGGAAGAUCUACCUGCCUGUAGGAUACGGUGCGCAUGUGCAAUUCCUCAACUUCUCCACUGAGGCUAACCAUGACUUCCUGGAGAUCCGCAAUGGCCCCUUUGAAACCAGCUCUGUAAUUGGCCGCUUCAGCGGACAGGAAAUCCCUCCCUCCCUGUUGACUACUUCCCAUGAGACCACGGUGUACUUUCACAGCGACCACUCUCAGAACAAACCUGGCUUCAGGUUUGAAUAUCAAGCCUAUGAGUUACAGGAAUGCCCUGACCCAGAGCCAUUCCGCCAUGGCGUGGUGGUGGGCGCUGGUUACAAUGUGGGCCAGUCCAUCUCCUUCGAGUGCCAGCCGGGGUACCAACUGGUGGGCCACUCCAUCCUCACCUGCGAGCAUGGCACCGUCCGCAACUGGGACCAUCCCUUCCCGCGCUGUGAAGCACUCUGUGGGGGCAACAUAACAUCAGACAAUGGCACCAUUUUCUCCCCCGGCUACCCGGAGGAGUACCCCACCUUGUCUGACUGCACCUGGCUAAUCACCAUCGCCCCCGGCAUGGGUGUCAGCCUUAACUUCACCCUACUCCAGGUCCAUGGCCCCCAUGACUUCAUCACCGUCUGGGACGGGCCACAGGAGACGGCACGGAAAUUGGGCGUGUUCACCGACACCGAGCCAAUCAACCCUCCCAGCAGCACGUCCAAUCAGGUCCUUGUUCGUUUCCGUAGCAACUCUGAAAAAGGUGGCCUUUUCAGAAUCACUUACCAAGCCUACCGCCUCCAGUUCUGCCUCCCUCCUCCUGUCAUCCCCAACGCUGAGAUCCUGACAGCCAGCAAAGAGUUUAAAAUCGGGGACAUCGUCCGCUACCGGUGCCUCCCGGGAUACCAGCUGAGCGGGAGCAGCAUCCUGACCUGCCGGCUCGGCACACAUCUGGAGUUUGAGGGCCCCCCGCCGUCCUGUGAGGUCACCUGUCCAAUGAAUGAGAUCCUGACAGACUCCACGGGCGUGAUCCUGAGCCAGAUGCAGGGCAGUGGCUUCCCACACUUUGAGACAUGCUCCUGGGUAGUGAAGGUGGAGCCGGGCUACAACAUCUCCCUGACCAUCGAGCACUUCCAGACCAGCCGACAGUUUGAUGAGCUGGAGAUUUUUGAUGGUCCUUCAAGGCAAAGUCCCCCGCUCCUCACCUUGAGCGGUAACUACUCCUCCCCCCUGACCGUCACGAGCACCUCCAACAAGGUCUACCUGCACUGGUCCUCGGACCACGCCUCCAGUCACAAGGGCUUCCGGAUCCACUAUGCAGCCUCAUACUGCAGCCCCCCAGACCCCCCCGCCAAUGGUUCAGUCCACAGCCUGACCGGCACCAAGCUGGGAAGCACCCUGCGCUUCAACUGCGACCAGGGCUUUCGCCUCAUUGGCCAGAACAGUGCCACCUGCUCCCGCACCCCCCAGGGCCUCUACCAGUGGAAUGCCCCAACACCCCUCUGCCAAGUGGUGUCUUGUGGCAUGCCAGCAUCCCCAAUCAACGGCAGCGUGACCGGUCGUGAUUAUACUGUGGGCACCAAGGCCACCUACCACUGCAAUCCCGGCUACCAGCUAACCAGCCCUUACACAGUGUCCAUCGUCUGCCAGGACUCUGGGAGGUGGAGCCCAGCUGAUGCCCCGCCCCACUGUGAACCGGUUAUGUGUCCUGACAUUGGCCACACAGCAGUGGACUAUGGCAGGUGGAGGCUGAUUUACGGGACCCUGAAUCAGUACGACUCCAUGAUGAUGCUCAUUUGUGACCCUGGCUACUACUACCGCGGUCAGCGAGUCAUCCGCUGCCAGGCCAAUGGAACCUGGGACUAUCCAGAACCCCGGCCCGUGUGCAACAUCAUCUCCUGUAUGGAACUGGGCAGCCCUCCCAAUGGGAACAAAAUCGGCACCCUAACCGUGUACGGAGCAACAGCCAUUUUCUCCUGCAACACGGGCUACACGCUGGUGGGCUCCCGAGUCCGGGAGUGCAUGUCCAACGGGCUGUGGAGUGGAACACAGGUCCAGUGUCUCGCUGGCCACUGCGGUGCCCCCGAACCCAUGGUGAACGGGCAGAUCAUUGGUGAGAACUACAGCUACCGCGGCAGUGUGGUGUACCAGUGCAACCCGGGCUUCCGGCUCAUCGGUGUCUCCGUGCGCAUCUGCGAGCAGGACCACCACUGGUCCGGCCGGACCCCCGUCUGUGUCCCCAUAACCUGCGGUCACCCUGGCAACCCGGCCAACGGCGUGACCCAAGGCACACAGUUCAACCUGAAUGACGUCGUGCGCUUCACGUGCAACACGGGCUACGUGCUGCAGGGGGCGGUGGAGGCGCAGUGCCAGGCCAACAGCCAGUGGAGCAACGGCCUGCCCCACUGCAAAAUUGUGAACUGCACAGACCCCGGACACGUGGAGAACAGCGUGCGGCAGGUCCUGCCCAGCGGGCCUCACCGCUUCAGCUUCCAGACCGCCGUGUCCUUCACCUGCAGCCCCGGCUACUACCUGCUGGGCAGCAGCACACUGGCCUGCCAGGGUGACGGCACCUGGGACCGCGCACUCCCCAAGUGCCUCUUGGUGCUGUGUGACCGGCCCAGCGUGCCGCCCUACGCCCAGAUUUCGGGGGACCGCCGCACCGUGGGCUCGGUGAUCCGCUACAGCUGUGCGGGCCGGCGGCAGGUCGUGGGCAACACCACCCGCAUGUGCCAGCUGGAUGGGCACUGGAGCGGAUCGCUGCCACACUGCUCCGGGGAUUCCCCAGGCCUAUGCGGAGACCCCGGUGUGCCGGUUCACGGCAUCCGGCUGGGGGAGCAGUUCUCCACGGGCAGCGUGGUGCGUUUUAGCUGCGAGCCAGGCUAUGCACUCAAGGGCGCCCCCGAGAGGACCUGCCUGGCCAACGGGACAUGGACAGGCAUCCAGCCCGAAUGCCACGUGGUGUCAUGCGGCAACCCCGGAACCCCCCGGAACGCCCAGGUGGUAUUCCAUGACGGCCUGGUCUUCUCACGCUCCAUCACCUACGCCUGCCGUGAAGGCUACUACUCCACCGGGCUGCUGACCCGGCACUGCACGGUCAAUGGCACCUGGACAGGGACCAUGCCAGAGUGCACAGUGAUAAACUGCGGGGACCCGGGGAUGCCAGCCAAUGGCAUCCGCCUGGGCAGCGACUUCACCUACCAGCGCAGCGUGACCUUCCAGUGCUCGCCGGGCUUCACCAUGGACGCCGACCGCUCCUCCGUGCUGGUCUGCACCAAGGACCGUACCUGGAACGGGUCCAAGCCCAUCUGCAAAGCCAUCGUGUGCGGCCUGCCUUCCGCCAUCCCGAACGGGCAGGUGGUGGGGACAGACUUCCAGUGGGGCUCCAGUGUCAGCUACGCCUGCGUCGAGGGCUACCAGCUCUCCCUGCCGGCCACUCUCACCUGCCAGGGGAACGGCAACUGGAGUGGGGAAAGACCCCAGUGUUUCCCGGUGUUCUGUGGAGAUCCAGGGGUGCCCGCCCAGGGCAGGCGAGAGGACCGCGGUUUCACCUACCUCUCCUCCGUGGUAUUCACCUGCCUCCCCCCGCUGGUGCUAGUGGGCUCGGCCCGUCGCUACUGCCAGGCGGACGGCAGCUGGAGUGGGACACAGCCUUCCUGCAUAGAUCCCAGUCACACGAGCUGCAGUGACCCCAGGGUACCGCUGUUUGGACACCAGAACAACACUCAGGGCUACCAGAUCGGCAGCACGCUGUUCUUCAGCUGCAGGAAGGGAUACCUGCUACAGGGGUCCAUCAGCCGCACCUGCCUGCCCAACCUGACCUGGAGCGGUGUGCAGCCCGAGUGCAUUGCUCAUCACUGCAGCCAACCCGAGCUCCCCGCCCAGGCCGACGUCAGCGCCAUCGAGCUGCCCUCACUGGGAUACACCCUCAUUUACUCCUGCCAGCCCGGCUUCUACCUGGCCGGGGGCUCUGAGCACCGCACCUGCAGGGCUGACGGGAGCUGGACGGGGAAGCCCCCUCUGUGCUCAGCUGACACCCGGCCGAGCGGGACGACGAUCGGAACCGUGCAGGAACCGCCGAACGCCAAGCUCCCAGUCCCCGGUGGUGUCUUUGCCAAGAAUUCUCUGUGGAGGGGCUCAUACGAGUACCUGGGCAAGAAGCAGCCUGCCAUGCUGAGCAUCACCGCCUUUGAACCCUUCGGAAACCGCGUCAACGGGACGCUCAUCCACCACAGUGGCGUGGAGCUGAAGCUGGCUGGGAUCUACAAAAAAGAGGAGUCUCACCUGCUGCUUCAGGUGUACCAGAUUCGGGGUCCCGUCGAGAUCUUCGUGAACAAGUUGAAUUGGGCGCUGGACGGCCAUGUGUCAUACAUGGCCUCCACCAACUCCUUUGUGUAUCAAGGGUUCGUAAGAGGAAAAGGAUUCGGCCAGUUUGGACUUCAGAGACUUGAUACGGAGAAACUGGACCCAAACCCAGACAGUCCUGGCUACAACUUCGCCUCCAACAGCAGCUCUGUGGCCGCAGCUAUAUUAGUGCCUUUCAUAGCCAUGAUCAUUGCAGGAUUCGCUCUGUACCUCUACAAACACAGCCUUCUGCUCUGUUUACCGACGCCCAGGAGAAGACCUAAGGUCCCUUUCAACGGCUACGCAGGCCACGAGAACACCAAUGGGAGAGCCACCUUCGAGAACCCAAUGUACGACCGCAACAUACAGCCCACGGACAUCAUGGCCAAUGAGACAGAGUUUACCGUCAGCACUGUGUGCACUGCGGUAUAGCGGCCGGCCUCCCCCCUUACCCCCUGCCCAGGCUCCUGUCUGUCGCCACACUGUACCCAGAAGCGAAGGCUGUCCCGUCACAUCACACGUCGUCAUCGUAAAACCUAAAAUGCUCUCAGAGUUCUGCGUGGCACUGCGCCAUCCCCCUCGCUGGAGUACCAGCCUCUCAACCUGCAUCUCUAACCAGAGGAAGACCAACGAGAUCGGACUGCAGUCAGAGAACCUGUUCUUGGAGAAAAGGUCUUGCAGUAGAUGGCACGGUGGAAAACGUGGUGAAGCACUUCACUGUCAGGCAAUGAAAGCGAGCGAUGCUUUAUGUGGGACAGUACCUACCUGCUCAUGCACUCUCACGGCCACAGGAAGCGGCCAUUGGCUCUGCACCGCAGACGGCUUGGAGCUGGUGGACGUGCCUCCGGACGGUGCAUCCUCUGCUUUUUUUUGUUCUGCAGUGGAGCAGAUGUGUGGCUCAUUACUCUUGUAGCAACUCAGAGCGCCAGACCCCCCCACAGCGCUCUGCUGAGGAUCUCACUGGAUAUCCCACGUCACACGGAACAGUCCCGUGUAUAUUCCGCUGCGGAUCUGCAGCUCCGCACCCCGAUAUAUUCUGAACGAUGGACUUCUAGACAAGGCUCCACAGGUGUGCAGCUGGUAUAGCGAGUGGAAAUGUCAUGGCCUGCAGUUUGUCACCAAGGAAGCUGUAUUAAAGACUCGCUUUUUGUAUGUCUGAAUGUGUGUGAGAGAGUGUGUAUAUUUGUUUGCAAGUGUUUGUGUAUUUAAAGUAAAUCCCAGAACCAAAUGCCCAUCAGAUUUGUGUUUCCUGUGCACAUAACGGGGAUUGUAUAUUCAGGAAUCCCCAGGGAGGUGCUGAAAAAUUGCUCGACAUAAAAUUCGCAUGUAAACACAAAGGGCAGGAGGGAUACCACCGCCCCUCUCUGAUGGGAAAAGGUGCUCUUUCUCAUGACGAUCAUGGAUGAAAUGAUGGAAUUCACAUAGGUUUUGUCUUGUGGGAUAAGAAAGCAACUGAAGGCUACACAUAAGUACUCAGAGGUUUGAAAAAAGAUAAAUACUCACCCAGUUAUGACAAAGGCAGAAUGUAAUUGUUUCGCUGUGACCCUGUGCUGCAUUUGCUCAGCCCCUUGUGUUCGGGCACUGCAGUUUUCAUCACGGCCAGAAGAGGUUGUGGUAUUGAAUGUUCACUCUGCAAUCAAAGGGCCUUUCUGAGUGUUAAAACUGGCAUCUUUUAUUGGCUGACAAGGAAGGGCAGGCUGCUUUCCGAUUCAAGAUGCCUUCUCUCUCUGUAAUAGUCCCUUUGCUCGAAACCGUGGGCAGAUGCUGUCAGGAUAGUUAAGCUGAGUUUUUAUAGUGCGUAAUGUUGUUUCGCACCCUGAAAUGACCGUGAGCGGUCAUGUUGUGCGUGUUGUCACAGGGGUUGUGCCCUCACCAUAGUAUUAAGAGUAUGGACAAGGGUGACUCCUACGCAAAGCAGGCAGGAAGUGAUGUCGCAUUAGAGGAAGUCCAGGAUGAGGGAUGUGAGGUGUUUUCUUUGCUUGGAUAAUUUGCCUGGAAACCAGACAGUAAGGUCACUUUGGUGCCCAUUAGUGUUUUAUCUCAGUCUCUCCAGAAGUGAAUUGUGAACCCUGACAGGAAGUAAUAUCACAAAUUUCAUAGGCCUCAGGCCUCACUGGCCACUUACUGGUAGACACACUACACUGCAUAAAUUUUUUUGUACCUUGGUAUUAAAAGAGAGGGUUAACAAAAUACUGUACGUCCAUGCUUGGUCAGGGCUGUUUAAUUUUGCUCAGCACAAUAGCAGACUUAGGUUCAGAAGUUGAAAUAUGUUAAAACUGAGUACAAAGUAGAUCACAGUGGGCUAAUUCUGUUUACUUCAUGAAUUCAGAAAAGUCUUUGGAACUACUUUUUUGCAAAUUCUGUACAAGGUGAUGAGCAGUCGUUCACGGCCACAUUUUUCAUGGUUUAUUUUGUGAAAAGGAUAUUUUUAAGUUAAAAACUGCAGCUGCAAGUUUUCCCUAGUUUUAUUCAGCUUUAUAUAUGAGGAUGGGCAUAAUGCAUACGCAGUAGGUGUGCUAUCGUACCAUUUAUAGUGCAUUUAUAGUGUUAUAGUGUUCACACAUACGGUCUAGUAGACGAUUCUCCAUCUAAACAAAGUUGGCUAAAACAAAACAUAAAUUAAUAUGUAAAUGAUCACUGUUUUGUUUGGUUUUGGUUGUGCGCGAUGCCGCUAACAGCUACCCAGCGACACACUACAAUCUGAUGCCUUCUUUAUUGGAAGCAUUCAGCUAUCUCUGCGAACGGCUCAAACAAAGGGACUUUCUGAAACGGAUUAUUGUACAGAACGUUAGCCGUUUCACACAGCCGUGGUAAUUCCUUUUACUAUUUCAUUGCUUUUAAAUGCCUUAUCUCCGCUGUGUGAAUUGAUUGUCACCUGCUACUUAUUAGAAUAUUGGAAUGGAAAGAGUGUGAGGAAAGCAAAGGCUGCGUUUCCCAAAUGAUAUAUAAGGCAAAGUGGUUGGAAGGUGCAAUAUAACCACCAAUCACCAGUCACUUUGAAAUACAUAUGAAAUACAGUGUUUGAAAAUCAGGGGUUGGCCAAUGUGACUUAGUGGACAGCAUUAUAGAGUCUGGGGGGGGGGUGUCCUGCCCCCAGGUCCGUGUGUGUGGAGUUUGCAUGGUUAACAUAUAUAUUUAUAAACAUAGACGCAACACACACAAGCACACAUGUGGAUUCUUAGCAGCAAGUGAGCAGGGAGCGCUGAUUUAUAGUGAGAGCCACAUGAGGGACAGCUGGGGUGCAGCCCUGUGGCAUGACUCUCCCCCACCCCCACCAGUUUCCUGUGGUGCACCGAUUCCUUUCCUCGGUUAAUCUGUUAUGACAAGCCCCAGCACGCUUUUCCCCAUACAUGUCUCAGAUAAAACAGGCCAUUACAAUAUUCAAAGAAACAUUAAAAGAUAAAAUACAUUUCACAAGACUGAGACCUAGACACAGUUGCCUGAAAAAAAAAG